rnacentral:rRNA from 1 species
AACGCGAAGAACCUUACCUACCCUUGACAUGUUCGGAAUCCCGAAGAGAUUUGGGAGUGCUCGCAAGAGAACCGGAGCACAGGUGCUGCAUGGCUGUCGUCAGCUCGUGUCGUGAGAUGUUGGGUUAAGUCCCGCAACGAGCGCAACCCUUGUCAUUAGUUGCUACGCAAGGGCACUCUAAGGAGACUGCCGGUGACAAACCGGAGGAAGGUGGGGAUGACGUCAAGUCCUCAUGGCCCUUAUGGGUAGGGCUUCACACGUCAUACAAUGGUCGGUACAGAGGGUUGCCAACCCGCGAGGGGGAGCCAAUCCCAGAAACCCGUUCGUAGUCCGGAUCGCAGUCUGCAACUCGACUGCAUGAAGUCGGAAUCGCUAGUAAUCGCGGAUCAGCAUG